rnacentral:rRNA from 1 species
AUGCCAGUCCCCGGUGGAUCUUCUUCCUCACAUUCUAUUUCAGCUAGACAUUUCGUUGAGCACUUGGCAUGCAGCAAGCAGCCGGAGAAGGACAUGGUGGGUGUGGAGGCCUCCGGCAAGGUGGCUCUGGUCCUUGGCCGCCCACAGGAUCGAGGUGGAGGCUGCAGCCGCAUGCAUCUACGACGCUAUCCGCACACACAAGCCCGCCAUGGCCCCUCUCUGGUGGUACAAGCUCAAACCUAUGCGGAGGUAAAGCCGCCGCGUGCAUCCAUGCCACUGGCUGCAUACACAGCUUCGUGUGAUGGCCGACGCACAGGUUGCAGUUGUUGUCGUCGACUGUGGCAACGUCCUUCGACUUGCUUGGCGUGGCCGCUGGCCACCCAGACGGCGUCCGCGUUCGGCACUGCUCCGCAUCGUCUCUACGUCCGGACCCGACCUCCAGCAAUCUCACCGGCCCGCACCGUCGUGCAUGUCCGCGACCGCCACCCAUGA